UGCCAGCACGUAAUGGUGGGAACUCAUGGGAUACUGCCGGGGUCAACUCGGAGGAAGGUGGGGAUGACGUCAAAUCAUCAUGCCCCUUAUGUCUUGGGCUUCACGCAUGCUACAAUGGCCGGUACAAAGGGCUGCAAUACCGUGAGGUGGAGCGAAUCCCAAAAAGCCGGUCCCAGUUCGGAUUGAGGUCUGCAACUCGACCUCAUGAAGUCGGAGUCGCUAGUAAUCGCAGACCAGCAACGCUGCGGUGAAUACGUUCCCGGGUCUUGUACACACCG
rnacentral:rRNA from 1 species